rnacentral:rRNA from 1 species
CCUACGGGAGGCAGCAGUGAGGCAUAUUGGUCAAUGGACGAGAGUCGGAACCAGCCAAGUAGCGUGAAGGAUGACUGCCCUAUGGGUUGUAAACUUCUUUUAUAUGGGAAUAAAAUGUUCCACGUGUGGGAUUUUGUAUGUACCCUAUGAAUAAGGAUCGGCUAACUCCGUGCCAGCAGCCGCGGUAAUCCGGAGGAUCCGAGCGUUAUCCGGAUUUAUUGGGUUUAAAGGGAGCGUAGGUGGAUGGUUAAGUCAGUUGUGAAAGUUUGCGGCUCAACCGUAAAAUUGCAGUUGAAACGGGCAGGCUUGAGUACAGUAGAGGUGGGCGGAAUUCGUGGUGUAGCGGUGAAAUGCUUAGAUAUCACGAAGAACUCCGAUUGCGAAGGCAGUUCACUGGACUGCAACUGACACUGAGGCUCGAAAGUGUGGGUAUCAAACAGGAUUAGAUACCCGGGUAGUC